UAUGAACUGAGGAGUUGGUUUAUUUUCAUCAGUUGUUAUUUUUGCAGGAAUCAGACUUAUUUAAAAAAAACUAAAAACUUGCCGCUUUCUUUCCUAAGGUAAAUUUAGUAGGUUCAUACAUGUUGGUAUAAGGUCUGAAACUCUAAACCACAAUGGUUACCUAAACAGCAAGUGGAAGAACAAGGAUUUGCUCUCAUCUCUGUCUGUCACAAAGUUCUGAGGUCCUAAUCAUAAAUAAAACUGCAUCUGAAGAAGUGUGUAAUGGAGUUGUUUUACUGCUUUCUUUAAACAAGUUAUUCUUCAAUCCUUCAUUCACAAAUUAAUUUUUCUUUAGAAAAAUUAAGCCAUUUUAGAUAUCAGCUAAUUACUGACUUUUGAGCAUGCAAGAUUUAUCAUCUUCAAUGAUAUGUUUUCCUUAAGCUUCUGCCCUUUCACAUUGCUUUUCUUUUAAAA
rnacentral:lncRNA from 1 species